CGUAGUUAGCAAGAGCAGCAUUUGUCUCUUCUUUGGUGAUGUAGCUGUAUGAUUGCUGUAGAAGGUCAUAAAGCUAGAUUACCAAAGCAGAGACAUUGGCUAAAUCAACGAACUGACUU
rnacentral:precursor_RNA from 12 species